UACAUAGGGGGCCAGCGUUAUUCGGAAUUAUUGGGCGUAAAGGGCGCGUAGGCGGCCAUGCGUGUCUUUCGUGAAAUCCCUCGGCUUAACUGAGGACGUGCGGAAGAAACUGCAAGGCUUGAGUCCGGGAGAGGGGGGUGGAAUUCCCAGUGUAGCGGUGAAAUGCGUAGAUAUUGGGAGGAACACCGGUGGCGAAGGCGGCCCCCUGGACCGGUACUGACGCUGAGGCGCGAAAGCGUGGGUAGCAAACGGG
rnacentral:rRNA from 1 species